UACGAAGGGGGCUAGCGUUGCUCGGAUUGACUGGGCGUAAAGGGCGCGUAGGCGGUUCGUACAGUCAGACGUGAAAUUCCUGGGCUCAACCUGGGGGCUGCGUUUGAUACGUGCGGACUUGAGUGCGGAAGAGGGUCGUGGAAUUCCCAGUGUAGAGGUGAAAUUCGUAGAUAUUGGGAAGAACACCGGUGGCGAAGGCGGCUCACUGGCUCAUUUCUGACGCUCAGGCGCGACAGCGUGGGGAUCAAACAGG
rnacentral:rRNA from 1 species